AGGCUGGCGGCUCCCCGGAGCGCGCCCAGUCGGCCCUGCCUCGCCGCGCCCCCGCCCCUGGGCUCUGGGAACGCGCGGUCCCGCUAGCCUGAAGACCAGCUGAUGGCCGCGGAGCCCACUCGGUAUCUGCACCAGCUAGGCCCCUGGCCCCCAGAGCUGGCCGUUACUGCACUGUCUCUACUCCCGGCUUUAAACAGGAGGAAGGGAGCUGAACGGAACCUUCGAGCUUUUAAAGCCAGGAGUGGCCAGUCACCCCAGUACUCAGGAGACUGAGGCUGAGGGUUCAUGAGUUACAUAGGACAACCUGGACUGUAGAGGGAGCCUGUGCCUGCCUGACUGCCUUCGAUGAUAGACUGUAAUGUAGGAAUACAAGUGAAGUCAACGCUUCCCUACCCAGAUGCUUCUGCUCAUUCAUCGCGGUUUAUCGAAUCAAUAGGAAGCCCAAGACACCAGCCUAGGAGAAAGGUCAUGGCGGCUGGAAAUGGCAACACCACAGACACAGACUGUCCAGCACAUCACAGGAUCAUGGGCCCCGAUGCUGAGAAUGGAGCUGCAGGAUUUAACGUUUGUCUUGCUAUGCUUUGGUCUUGUUUCACUUAAAUCCUUCCCUGUCAUUUCUUUUUCCUGUUGGAAUGAAGAUGCUUACUCUGUGCAGUAUUGUAUUUCAGAAGUACAUAACUUCAUUUUUGAUAUUACAGAAGCUCAAGAAACUAAA
rnacentral:lncRNA from 1 species